rnacentral:rRNA from 1 species
UGAGCAAUCUGCCCUUCACAUCGGAAUAACCAUUGGAAACGAUGACUAAUACCGAAUAUGACUUCGGAUCGCAUGAUCUGAAGUGGAAAGCUCCGGCGGUGAAGGAUGAGCUCGCGGCCUAUCAGCUUGUUGGUGAGGUAAUAGCUCACCAAGGCGAUGACGGGUAGCCGGCCUGAGAGGGUGACCGGCCACACUGGGACUGAGACACGGCAGA